rnacentral:rRNA from 1 species
GAUCCUGGCUCAGAAUCAACGCUGGCGGCGUGCCUAACACAUGCAAGUCGCACGAGAAAGGGUAGCAAUACCUAAGUACAGUGGCGCACGGGUGAGUAACACGUGAAUGAUCUACCUCCGAGUGGGGAAUAACUGAGAGAAAUCUUGGCUAAUACCGCAUAACACUUACGAGUCAAAGCAGCAAUGCGCUUGGAGAGGAGUUCGCGGCAGAUUAGUUAGUUGGCGGGGUAAUGGCCCACCAAGACGAUGAUCUGUAUCCGGCCUGAGAGGGCGCACGGACACACUGGAACUGAAACACGGUCCAGACUCCUACGGGAGGCAGCAGUGGGGAAUUUUGCGCAAUGGGGGAAACCCUGACGCAGCAACGCCGCGUGGAGGAUGAAAUCCCUUGGGAUGUAAACUCCUUUCGAUAGGGAAGAUUAUGACGGUACCUAUAGAAGAAGCCCCGGCUAACUUCGUGCCAGCAGCCGCGGUAAUACGAGGGGGGCAAGCGUUGUUCGGAUUUAUUGGGCGUAAAGGGUGCGUAGGCGGUUUGGCAAGUCUUGUGUGAAAUCUUUGGGCUCAACCCAAAGCCUGCAUAAGAAACUGCCGGGCUUGAGUAUGGGAGAGGUGAGUGGAAUUUCCGGUGUAGCGGUGAAAUGCGUAGAUAUCGGAAGGAACACCUGCGGCGAAAGCGGCUCACUGGACCAU